CACCUUGAAACUCUGCGUUCAAAUAGGAUCAAAAUUAGGCAGAAUGAGUUCAUCUGUCUUUCUUGAUUACACUUCUUUCUUUUUUCCACAGACACCAAGAAAGAAGAUCUCAGUUUUAAUAUAGGUUCAGCAACAUUUGUAUAAAAUAUCAUUGAACUGAAAACUAAUGAUUUUUGAGGCAUAAGACACAAAAGCAGAAGCAAUUGGGAACAAGAGCACUGUGAAAUAUGACAUUAGCAGUGGCCAAGCCAGGCUGCUCUGUCUACCGGACCCCAGAGGAGCCAUCAGUAGGUGUUCCCACCAGGACCCAGAGGCAUGGACAAAGGUCAUCAGAAGGAUGUUGAAGAGCAAGUGGGUUGCCAGAACAUUGCACCUACCUUACGCAGAAGCCUGCUGAAAGUGGAAGACGACAUCUGAGAUGAACACAAUCCACCACUGAUAAGCACAAUUGUUUUUCCUUUCAGAUCAAACUGUGGAGAGAGAAGGAACAAUGGGAAGACCAUCAUAUUUGCACUUCUUUCAUUGACAGAACUGUAGUUGAGGAUUUCUUAGCUAAUUCACCUACCCUGGGCAUGUGGGAGUUUUUUCCUGCAGUUUUAACAAGCCACUGGGGUCUGCUCUGUGCCAGCAGUAGGUUAGGAUAGUGCUGAGUUUGAGCUGCAGUAGAAGUAGCCUCUGUGCUCCUUCUUCCUCAUUUAAUGCUGCUGUUGAGGGAGAAAUGGAAGUCAGUUUUUUAUACAGUCAUAGAACGGUUUGGGUUGAAGGGCCCUUCCCAUCUCCCCCAGUGCCACCCUUGCCAUGAGCAGGGACAUCUUCACCAGCUCAGGUUGCUCAGAGCCCCGUCCAGCCUGGCCUGGGAUGUCUCCGGGGUCAGUUCAUCCACCACCUCUCUGGCCAACCUGGGCCAGGCUCUCACCAACCUCACUGUGGAAAAGUUCUUCUUCAUGUCUGGCCCGAAUCUCCCCUCCUUUAGUUUAAAAUCAUCAUCCCUUGUCCUAUUGGAACAGGCCGUGCUAAAAUCUGUUCUCAUCUUCCUUAUUGGCCCCUUUUAAGUCUGGAAAGGCCACAAUAAGGUCCCCCUAGAGCUUCUCUACUCCAGCUGAACACCCCAACUCUCUCAGCCUGUCCUUCCAGCAGAGCUGUUUCCAGCCUCGGAUCAUUCCUGUGGCUCCUCUGGUCCCCCUCCAGCAGGUCCAUGUGUGUCCUGUGCUGAGGACCCAGAGCUGGACCAGCACUGCAGGGGGGUCUCACCAGAGCAGAGGGGCAGAAUGACCCCCUUCGACCUGCUGGUCACUCAUUAUUUUUUCUUAUAUAUUUUUUCUUUUUUUUUCCUCUCAGUAGUUUAUUAGUCCUGGAGCUAUGCAUAUGGAUGAAUGUUUGAAGCUCACCACUUGUUGGAAGAGGUCUCUGUGUCAUUUUCAAUUACAGCAAGACUGAGAAAACUAUUCCCACUACAUCAUUGAGAGAUUCACAAAAAACAUCUCUAGAGUCACCCAGAACGUCCUUGGGCUACAACAAGAUGCAUAGUCACUGGUGGCUUGCUCUGGGAAUAGGUGCUGGACAUCUCUUCUGCCCUGAUGCACUUUACACCACUGUUUUUUUUAACAGGAAAACCUCAGACAAACAAAUUGGGGUCAGACACACAACAUAUUUUUCAUUUAGCUCUUCAAGAACCACUUACGCUUGCAGAUGCUGCUGGAAGCCUUUUGCUGUUGAUGUGUGACAUCAAGCAGGCAACACCCAGCCAGAAAAAGCUGCUAAGGGUGUCAAUCCUGACAGAGGCUGAGGGAAGGUCAGAAGGUCCAAGCCGUAAGAGAAAAAACCCUGACCAUGUAACUGAGGUUUAGUGAAAGACACACGUCUUAAUGCUUAAAAUACAUUUCUGCUUCCUUCAGGGUCUGACUAACCUUUCUUGGCUGGCGGUUUGCUGGUUUUGGAGCCACCAAAAGACAUGCCCACUGGGCAGCUGGGUGUCCAGCUGCUUCAGGCUGAACAGCUUGAAAUGUCUGGUACAAACUGAUGGGACAAAUUUCUCCAGGAGAUGGGGGUGAUCCAAGCUGAGUUUUCCAUGCUCAGUAUUAAACACUGUAGUUUCCUUUUCAAUGUAGAGCCUAUUUUUGCAGAACUUGAUUUACCCAGCCUUGUGAAUCAUAGAGUUUUGAGAAGAACAUUGGUCCUUGUGGAAUUAAAAAGUAAUUAUUCCAUUCCUCUAAUAAGAUGGGAAAAGACAAGCCUGAUGAUUCAUUUCCUAUACUCUUCACCAGUUUUUCUCCUCAGAAACAAGGGCAGAACCACUUCUCCUUCCCCUCUGUCCAAGGCUCCAUCUCAGUCUCACAAACAUUCAGCAACAAUGACCUCAUGAAGAAGUGGUCCCCAAGACACUUCCAUCUUUGCAGAAAGCCCACGUGCUCUCAGGAAAGCAUUGGAUAUGACACAUCCUCUGUUUUCCUUUUCCCAAUGAUUCAAAUUCAGCAUCCAUGAGGCCUGAAACUGUUAAUUCUGUAAGCAGACAUAAUUGCAAACAAACACUAUAACUUAAGUUUUGAUUGCUUAGAGGGAAUCAUAGAAAACCAAGAAUUGUGUCAGAAAAAGACAUGGGAUAAGUUAUUAAUCAUUGACCAAAUGCUGCACCUUCUUAAUGUAUAGGUAUAUUUUCCAAUAAAUAUAAGACUGCUUUGAUUUCUAGAAUUAUUUUUCGAAAGUGUUAAAUGAAAAAUAUGAUUUUGCUCAAGACAUAUAGAAAAUGAAGUGAAUAGGCCUUUAAGGAAUUUUAAAUUAUUGGAAAGAUCCCUGUCUACAUGAUGAGAGAAAAAUACUAUUUCUCUGAGUGCAAGUUACAUAUUUAGUGGUUUCUCUACACCUAAAAUAUAGUCCAUUAAUCAUGUCAGAAUACUUCAUUUUGUUUAGGUCUUUAUGUCUAGCAAACCGUUUAGUCUAAACUAAAGAUCUGUAAGCAUCCUUUUUAUGUUGAGGAAAUGAUGUGUUUCAAUGUCAGAAAAAUAUAUAUUUUUUUAAAUAAAAAAAAAAAAGACUUCACCUUGAAUUAAAACAAAACAUAAAACUUUUAAUUUUUUUUUUUACCAAAUUGAAAUUUCACAGUAUUCCCUUUAAAAACAGGAAGCAAUAGAAACCAUUUGGUGUUUUUGAAAGGAAAUAUUUUUCUUAGGUUCCUAAGCUCUGUGGUUUCCCUCAUGUUGACCUGGCAAAGCACUGAAGAGCUUGGGAUCUGGGAGGCACUGGAAACUUGGUGAAUGUCUUUGAGAUUCAGGAGCCAGAACUGCAGAGAUCCCUUUUGGGCUGAGUGUUAAAACGUGCAUAAAAGCCAUCAGUCUUCAAGACUGAGGGUUUGGUGGGCUGAAACGAGUCCAGAACCUACUAACUUUUAGAAUUACGCAAUUCAGUUAAGCACAUCACCAAAAAGUGAGGCUAAUGCCUUGGUAGGGAAUAUGGGAGGAAGUCAUGAUCUGACUCUGAAGGUAUGAGUGGAAUAAGGUCAAGAGACAGACUAGAUCUACUGAAGCCAAAAGAAAAUGUUGGUACUUGUGUUAAUAUGUGUAAGCAUAUCAUUAACUAACUUUGGUGGCAGAUGGCAUCUAACUGUUAAGCAGUGAAGACCUGAAAAAGACUUCAAUUUACACACAGUGAGGUCACAAAACCUCCUGAUACAUUGCAGUGCUCUGUUUAUAGGCAUUUAAUGGGACUCUAAUGUGGCAGCAGGGGAUGGAUUUGAUGAACUGUGGUGAACUCAAUGAACAUUUCCAUCCUGUGUGCCACAAACUGCUUCAGUUUCUCCAAAUAAGCAUUUGUCUGCAAUGCUGUUGUUGAAUUUCCAAGUUGGUCUACUUACACGCCAAUGGUAUGGAUGAGACUACAGGGUGCUGACAUAUUGGUGGAGGGGAUUUGGUGGAUUGUACUUUCUUCUCCAGUGUAACAAGAGAACUCCACUGCAGAGUCUAAUAACUUGAUGAAGCCUUUCGAGUAUGAUAGUGGUCUUUAUAAAGUCUUCUACAUGCAGUUGGGUGGAAGCUGGUAGGGCUCAUGGAAGUAAGGCCAUUGCAAGUAAGUGUCCAGAAAAGGCAGGUUUAUCAAAAUUCUAUCCCAAAAAAGGCAAACUUUAGCUGUACCAAAAGUUUCAGUGGCAUGACCUCUCUGUUAAUAGACUGUGGGUGCUCUGUGUCAUGCACCCCUGGGGACUUGAUAAAGAGUGCUGUCAUCCAUUUCUGCUCAUGUGUUUUAGUUGGCUUCAACUGAAAGUCAGUAUGUAAGAAGUGGGAAGGAGAGUUGGAGUCAUCCUAACGUGGUUGGACACCAAGGUCAAGGAUUUGGAAAAUACUCCACAAAGCCCCACAGCUUACAUGUACCCCAUGUGAAUUCUGCAUUCAUUUUAAGAGGACAUAGAUUUCACCACAGUUGUGAUGUACUAAAUCUGUUCCCUCCCAGGGAUAUUUAAGGGACAAUUGUGGUACCUUGGGCCUUUCCUGAAAAUAUUGCAUCAUCAAUUGUGUCAGUGAUAAGCCUUGAAAGAGUUUCUAACUCCUGUGCUGCAAUAAGAUUUUCCUGGUGAUUUCUUACUGGUAAGAAUAUGUGUCCUUUAA